AGAGGUGUCUGAGUGGUCGAAAGAGCUACCCUGGAAAGGUAGUAUAUGGGUAACUGUAUCGAGGGUUCGAAUCCCUUCCUCUC
rnacentral:ncRNA from 14 species